rnacentral:rRNA from 1 species
UACAGAGGUCUCAAGCGUUGUUCGGAUUCAUUGGGCGUAAAGGGUGCGUAGGCGGCGCGGUAAGUCGGGUGUGAAAUCUCGGAGCUUAACUCCGAAACUGCAUUCGAUACUGCCGUGCUUGAGGACUGGAGAGGAGACUGGAAUUUACGGUGUAGCGGUGAAAUGCGUAGAUAUCAGGAGGAACACCAAUGGCGAAGGCAGCUCGCUGGAACGGUACUGACGCUGAGGCGCGAAAGCGUGGGGAGCAAGCAGG